GAGAAGUCUGACGAGCACGCCGCGUGAGUGAAGAAGGUUUUCGGAUCGUAAAACUCUGUUGUUAGAGAAGAACAAGGAUGAGAGUAACUGUUCAUCCCUUGACGGUAUCUAACCAGAAAGCCACGGCUAACUACGUGCCAGCAGCCGCGGUAAUACGUAGGUGGCAAGCGUUGUCCGGAUUUAUUGGGCGUAAAGCGAGCGCAGGCGGUUUCUUAAGUCUGAUGUGAAAGCCCCCGGCUCAACCGGGGAGGGUCAUUGGAAACUGGGAGACUUGAGUGCAGAAGAGGAGAGUGGAAUUCCAUGUGUAGCGGUGAAAUGCGUAGAUAUAUGGAGGAACACCAGUGGCGAAGGCGGCUCUCUGGUCUGUAACUGACGCUGAGGCUCGAAAGCGUGGGGAGCAAACAGGAUUAGAUACC
rnacentral:rRNA from 1 species